rnacentral:rRNA from 1 species
CAGUCGCCGCGGGAAUACGGAGGGUGCAAGCGUUAAUCGGAAUUACUGGGCGUAAAGCGCACGCAGGCGGUCUGACAAGUCAGAUGUGAAAUCCCCGGGCUUAACCUGGGAACUGCAUUUGAAACUGUCAGGCUGGAGUCUUGUAGAGGGGGGUGGAAUUCCAGGUGUAGCGGUGAAAUGCGUAGAGAUCUGGAGGAAUACCGGUGGCGAAGGCGGCCCCCUGGACAAAGACUGACGCUCAGGUGCGAAAGCGUGGGGAGCAAACAGGAUUAGAUACCCCAGUAGUCCCUGUCUCUUAAAC